rnacentral:rRNA from 1 species
UACGUAGGCAGCGAGCGUUGUUCGGAGUUACUGGGCGUAAAGAGUGCGUAGGCGGUUUUCUAAGUUUGGUGUGAAAUCUCCCGGCUUAACUGGGAGGGUGCGCCGAAGACUGGAAGGCUUGAGUAUGGGAGAGGUAAGCGGAAUUCCUGGUGUAGCGGUGAAAUGCGUAGAUAUCGGGAGGAACACCGGUGGCGAAGGCGGGAUCCUGGGCCAGUACUGACGCUGAGGAGCGAAAGCGUGGGGAGCAAACAGG